rnacentral:rRNA from 1 species
ACUACGGGAGGCAGCAGUGGGGAAUAUUGGGCAAUGGGCGCAAGCCUGACCCAGCAACGCCGCGUGAAGGAAGAAGGCUUUCGGGUUGUAAACUUCUUUUGUCAGGGACGAAGCAAGUGACGGUACCUGACGAAUAAGCCACGGCUAACUACGUGCCAGCAGCCGCGGUAAUACGUAGGUGGCAAGCGUUAUCCGGAUUUACUGGGUGUAAAGGGCGUGUAGGCGGGGAAGCAAGUCAGAUGUGAAAACCACGGGCUCAACCUGUGGCCUGCAUUUGAAACUGUUUUUCUUGAGUGCUGGAGAGGCAAUCGGAAUUCCGUGUGUAGCGGUGAAAUGCGUAGAUAUACGGAGGAACACCAGUGGCGAAGGCGGAUUGCUGGACAGUAACUGACGCUGAGGCGCGAAAGCGUGGGGAGCAAACAGGAUUAGAUACCCGAGUAGUC